ensembl:lncRNA
CCCGGGCCUGCCUCGCCCCGCCGCACCGCGCUGCCGCCGCGAUGUCCCUCCUGCUUCCCUCGGCCUUUCCUGAAGCCUAGGGCCCAGGUGCAGGGGCGAAUUCGCAGCACGAUUGUAAGGCGGUGAAGUUUCUCUCCGGAAAUAAAGUUUGCGUGCUUGCCCUGCAAAAGAUGAGAUGGGUCCAAAACGUGAAAAACGGUGUGAGAAACAAGAACAAAAAAAAAAAAAAGCAUUUAAAGCCAGCAUUUCCAUGGAUUUGUCCAUCAAUCCACAGUUCAACAAGGAGGGGAAAGAAAAUAUCACACUCCCUACUAAAUUCUGCUGGGAUCCUCCAUCUGCGCCUGAUGUUCCCAAGGCAUAACAGAGAUAAUGUGAAUUGACAUUAAGUCAUGUCCAUGUCUUUCCAGUGUAACAAAAAAUGUAUAUUCUAAGCUGGAGGACCGACUGCAAUACUUGUUGACAUAGAAACUGGGGAGUAAUACUUGGCCUCCGGAGUUAAUCCCUGAAGUCCUGCUCGCAGGGCACAGUGUUCCAUUGACCUCGUUUCUUCCACUCAAGGCGGGGAGAAAGGUCAUUAUGCCUGCCAAGAAUAUCCAUCUUGUCAGCAAUGUCCCCAGCAAAUAUCUUGCUGUGUCUGACUGGGGCACGCUGUCACCAGCACGUCUAACUUCAUUUUGUGUCACAGGAGCCAGAGAAAAGGAGGAGGUGGCAGCAGUGAGAGGUUGGAAAGCUGAGUAAUGUUUUCCUUCUUUCAAUAUUGAAAGUGUCAAAAGAAAACCAGUGUUUGAUUUUGCAGCACCCAAAGUCUACAAGAUACUUACACUGAAGCAAAUUUUUAAGAGCAAAUUUAACCCAAGUCACAGAUGUUGUAAGAUUGACCAAAAUUAAAGUUUUCUUUGUGUUUCCUAAUUUUUGCUGAGCAUUUUUUUAAAUUAUGAUCUACAAGAAAAACAAAACUUGUUUUCAACCCAGAACCCCUUAUAGCGUUGUCCGGUCUGGGAGAAAGAGGUGAAAUGAACAAAUACGAUAUAAUGACACUAACAGAUGUUUUUAAGGCUAAUAAUCCAUUGUAUUAUUUUUAAAUUAGGAAGAAGCAUAGGAAGAAAUCCUAGUACAAAAUAAUUGAUAAGUCUUCCACUGAUAUUGAUGAAAAUGGAAGGAUGGAUAGUUAUUUAUUUUUUAGGAUAAUAUUUACCAUAUAGGAGGCAGACCUGGCUAUUAUAAAGGGGAGAAAUAUUUCAUAUUGGAGAGGUAAGAUAAAAUAUGACCUUAUAUGCAUAAACUAAGGUUCCAGUUUGCACACAAACUUGUCUUUUUCACUGCAUAAAAAUGUGAACUUUUAGAGAGGACGUAGGGAGGCAAGUGCCCUGCCCAUAACUGUACACUCGGAACCAAAUUUCUCUCUCAUAUUCAUCAGUGGGCUUCGGGGAUAACUCCACUGAAGAAGUACUUUGAAUUUACAACACAUUACAUGAGAGCAGGAUUUUACCCAGCGCUCUCAGUUAGAUUUUCAGACUGCUUGUCCACUUCCUUUCUGCUCCAAAUUCAAGCUGGAUGUUAGUCAGCCUGGAUGUUUGCCACCUCUGCCUUAUCACAGAUCCAUUUUGACUGCGUCUCUGAAACUGCGCUGGAGGCAAGAAAAUCAUAAUCUAUCUCCAACAUAUUUAUGGCAACACUCUGGGCCUAGAAAGGGGCUGUGGUGACAGAUGCUGUUCUGACACCCCAGAAGAAAAGAAGUUCUAAUUGUCAAUGUUAGGAAUAAAUGCAGAAUACAUGCACCA